AUGCAAAUGAGCUCCGAGCGCACCUGUCUUUGUGAAAGAGAAAGGCGACCACGUGACAGGGGGAGCGUCGCUUUGCUCACAGCCGGCGAGGUUUUUGUACGAGCGCCUCACAACCUUGCAUCACUGUGGUGGAGUUUCGGCGAAGGGACCAAACUGGUCAUCGGCUCGGGUGAGGUGCGGCCCCCCACGCUGACCAUCUUCCCCCCCUCCAAAGAGCAGCUGCAGACUGGCAGUGCCACGGCGGUGUGCGUGGCCAGCGGAGGCUCGCCUCAGGCCUGGACCCUGGGCUGGAAGGUGGGGGGCAGCAGCAGCACCUCGGGGGUGUCACACAGCUCGGACGAGGCCACCGGCGACGGCCGCUACAGCUGGACCAGCACCCUGAGCCUCCCCGCCGACCGCUGGAGCACGGCCGGCUCGGUGAGCUGCGAGGCCACCAUGCAGGGUCAGAACCCCGUGACCCAAACCCUGAUGGACCCGGGCCGCUGCUCAGAGUAG